GAUUUCAGACGUGUACCCUUCCUAUCUGGGAAACAGAGUGAGAAUAGGGUAUGCAAGGAUCUGGAUAGAAGGGAAAAUGUGGAAGUGGGAUGAGAUAGGAGAGGUGCUUAGAGAUGGUACAGGGAGA